rnacentral:rRNA from 1 species
GACGAACCGUGCGAACGUUAUUCGGAAUCACUGGGCUUAAAGCGCGUGUAGGCGGGACGGCACGUCUGUCGCUGAAAUCCCCCGGCUUAACCGGGGAACUGGCGUAGAUACGACCGUCCUGGAGGGGCGUAGGGGGACCUGGAACUUCCGGUGGAGCGGUGAAAUGCGUUGAGAUCGGAAGGAACGCCCGUGGCGAAAGCGAGGUCCUGGACGCCUACUGACGCUGAGACGCGAAAGCCAGGGAGACGAACGGG